CAUCCAGGCGCCGGCGAUGAUUGGCGAGCGGUGCCUCCGGCUGCUGCCAGCCUUCCUGCGUCGCGUAAGUGUUGCUCCCCAACCAGUUAUCGACUUCAGGGAAAGACCCUACACCGUCCAACUGGGGGCACAGCCGUCGCCGUCGUUGUCGUCGUCGCCGCAGCAAUAUCGCCGCCGCCCACAUCCGGAAUCACCGACGCCAUGGCGGACGCCACCUAGGUCAGAGACAGGGAAAGGAGGGUGAGAGUGAAGCGAGAGGGUACUAGAUCAGAUCUGCUCGCGGGCGUUAACCUCUCGACGAAGAACACACGCCGUUAACGUCCAUCUGCAUGGGGGCGUCAAAGGUGGCCAUGCUGGCACCUGACAUGCAGGCCCGGGAAGUCAGAAAACGGUUAAAACAGAUAAAACGGGCAGUUAAAAAUUUUGGUAGUUUUUUGGCACUCAUUAGGCUGAAAGUGGUAGUUUUUUGCACAAAAACGAAAUGUGGUAGUUCCUGGGCACGUUGGCGUGAAUUAUUGUAGUUUUUGGUUAAAUACUCCGGGGCAAGGGGUGGUCGACGCAGACUGAGCAGAGGUGGGCGACGAGAAAGUGAGAGGGUUGUGGGUGAGAGGACAGAAGGAGCCAUCGGUCCUCGGAUUGGCCGAGUCGAUCGAGGAAGGAGAAGGCUGGUUGUUGCGAUUUCUUUGGGAACAUAAUCUGGAUCCACAUGGAGAUGGUUAGGAUUUUGGGAUGGGGCGUGGCUGCGUGGGGGUGGGAUUUGGUGGGACAUGCGACAUGAAAAAAAUACUAACCAAUCGACCCCAUGUCCUCGCCGGAUGAGACGUGAGGCGGCGAGAGGGGCAGGGCUAGGAAGCAGGAGACGAUGGUGAGGUACGGCGAGUGGUGAUGCUGGGCCACUCCCUUGUACUUGUCGGCGAUGCUGCGCUGCGGACGAGAGGCAUGGAGGCGGAGCGAGCGCGAGCGAGCGACGCGGAGGCAGCGGCGGCGACGGCACCGAGCGAAUGCAUGAAAGGAGCGGUUCCCAGCGUACAAUCAAUACCGAGGGUUUU
rnacentral:lncRNA from 1 species